UUCAAUCUUUGCUGCUUGAUUUGUGCCUAGAAUGGAAAUUGUGAAGCAACCAUGAAAGAUGAUCACCUCUUCAGGGCCAUGCAGAAAGGCUCCCUUGAAGAAAGAUUCAGAGACGUGGUAACUACUGGGCACUUCCUUCUCGCUUUCCUUCCAGAGAGAGAGAGGGGGAUACCCACCCUUCCUGCCAUUAGCCUUCUCCAGUUUCUCGGAGGCAGGAAUGCAUCUAGGAAUCCCAGGGAAGAAUCUUAGUCUAUGUGCAUCUCUUGAGUUAUGAAAGAUGCUGUGCCAGAGGAAGGACAAAGAGCACUUGGGAGCCACCGAAUCUGGACGAUUCACAUUUGGCGUUCAAGUAAAUGCUGCACUAUGAAUGACCAGCUAUAAGCCUGAAAAGUCAAGUGAGUGGCCACUGAGCAAACAACCAAAAUCUGCUUCUAGACAACUACCUGAUGAGGUUUAUUUGGUAAAACAUUUGCUUCUCUGGUGAUCCAAACUUUUGUUGAAAACAAAAUUGAGUUCUUGAGAUUGCAAAGGUGGUCUGGAAGAUAUUAAAUUUACAUAAACAAAGGAAGGAACUCUGAGGUGCUUAGAUCCUAUGAUAAUGCAUGCAAUAUGAAAUACUUGACCUGCGUAGUGGUAUAAAACCACGCCUGAAGACAGCCUAAAAGAAUGGCUCGAAGCAGUUCCUGCUCAUUUGAAAGAGAUGUUGACUUUGAAGCUGAAUGAGAAUGUUGCCAGCACUGUUAGUUAUUUCACUGCCAAGAGAGAUGAAUGAUCAUGCUAGGACAAUGUAUUCUUCAUGCUUCCUCAUUUAGCAAUAGGAUCAAAACAAAUUCCAGGUUUGACGUCAGAUUAAAAAUUAUCUUAAGAUGUUCAACUUAAUAUCCAAGGGUGGGACUAAUUUCACCAAAUUUUAAGUGUCUAGAGUUUUCAAUUGUACAUCUAAGCUAGUCAUGUGGGCUCCUUCAGUAUAAUUUAUCUCAUCAUAAAUGUUAAUGUUUAAAGUAAUUUGUGCCGCUGUUCCCACCUACCAACACUACAGAUAUCCCUGGUCAGAUGUUCACAGUGGAGACAGUGACAAGGUAGGCUAGAGAAAUCCUACACUAAAAGUCUGCCAUCAAAAAUUUAGCUUUGUGCAGUUGGGGAUUGGCAGGGGCAGAGGGCUUUGACAGGUAGUGACUGCCACUUUCUUUCACUUGUCUACCUUUAAGAGUAGCGGUUAUGUGUCAACCAUGUUCCAGACAACAGCCAGUCAGGUCCCAUCCACUCUUCAUUGAAUGAUAAACCAAACUUGAAUUUAAUUUGUGAAAGAGCCAGUCCUCAGCCAUAAGGUGAAUGUAAAAAAGGAAGAUGUUAAGUCUGGAACUGGCGUUUUAAAUAAACGUGGAAGUGAGAAUUGGAUGUGUUGCUUUUCCCUAGCUUCACUAGUUAGACAUUUAGUCUACUUUCUUUCCCUCUCUCAUACUGCUUGGAAUUAGGAGGGAACCUAUAUAUUGACAACUAAUAGCAGUCUAGAAAACUUCUACUGUAGGCAUUACCAAAUUCAGGUUAGAUGCUCUCAACACUCCUCACGGUAAACAAGUAAAAUCUGUGUUUUUCACCUUUGAAAAUGUGACUCAUCUGCUCAGCAGUCAGAUGCAGCCCUUGCAGUUCAUACGACUCAGCUGGAGCCCAGUCUGAAACAUCAGUAGAACAUCCUGUCUGGCUGAGAGAUGCAUAAACACUGCUUACUGAAUGGGAUUUAAUCUAAUGUUGAUCUUCACGCAGUUGGCGAUACCAUAUGUUUUUGUGUUUUAAUGGUUAUCCUGUUUAUCUCAUCUUUCUGACCUAAGGCCAAAUCCUUCCGCUGAAUAACUGUCUUAAUAAUACUAGUUGAAAAUUAAAGAACAAAAAGGCUUAAUCAUUAAUAUCAUGUAUUAGUCUAAUGGGACACAAAAUUUUAUGUUAGCCUCAUGUCCUCUCUGUAUAGUUCCUUGCUUUCUUGGAUUUGCUUCUACUGGACUUCUUGUUGAAAAUUUGUGGUAAAGUUAGGCAUUUUACUGAAGAGCUUUGGUUUUUUCUGGAUGAUAUAGGCAUACCCUUUUCAUUGACUACAGUACAAAUUCUAAUCAGAUUGACAGAAGAAGGAAGAAUUAAACUCUCUGAACACAUACUCUUCAGGCUUGGAAUUCUGUGCACCUUACCUUUACGGAAUACUGCACAACUUUGAAAAGCUUUACAAA